UUACUUACGUUAUCGAUUCAUUUUUCUACAUUCGUUAGAGAACAAAUUCAUUCAAAUCGUGACAGGCGGCUGUUUUUCUUCACAUUGUUGAAACAAACGCGAACAUGAACACUUUUCACACCAUUUUCAAGAUAUUUUUAUUUUCUUACUGCAUGUUUUCGAUUCGAACCGAACACUCAAACUCCACCUCAAAUAUCGAUUACGAAAACGUGGUCCAUUGCAAGACACACAUACGUGUUCACAACGUUAAAUACAUUUGGACUAUUCAUAAUUUCACCGCUCACGAAAGACUUGGAUAUGAUAUUCUAGCACCCAAGUUACGUGCACUCACAACCGAUAAAGUUGAAUGGGAUCUUCGACUACAUAUUAGCUGGUAUUACGAUGUAGAAUAUAUUUCGUUGCAUUUAUUUCUAUCCCAAGAUAGUGUAGUUCCUUUGGUGGAAGCGGAAUGCAAUAUUUCAAUCAUCAAUAAUAAAGAUGAAGUAUUAUUUCAUAAGCACAUCGAGUCGAAACAGUACUCAAAAAAUCGGAUUAGCGAACAACGGCCAAUCUGCAAGAAAAACUAUUGUUUUAGAAAUCACUUACUACAAAACGACACGUUAACGAUGGUUAUCUAUCUGAAGUGGUAUUUUGAACCAUCUUAUCACGUUUUUCAUGAACGUAAGGCUCUCUCAACUAAUAGUCCUACACCUACAUCCGAGUCUAACACAACGAACAAAGGUAGUAGUAACCUUUUUCUGAAAUUAUGCAAAAACUUACAUCAAAAAAUAUUCUAAUAUUGAUUAGCUAACUAGCUAUUGAAUUUUUCAACUCUGAUAGGAUUGGGUGACGAACGAAAAAUAUAAAAAAAAAUUUCAUAACAUUUAAAAUUCUUUCCUCAGCUCAUUCUAAAUCUGUCCAACACUCCCUGGGCAGUCCUCUAGGCUCUAGUAACACUCCUGGCUGGCAGCCUGCUAAUCCCAUGUGUAACCCUUCCCUUCCACUAUUGGCUCGACUCACAAAAUAAAUUCUCAUCCUUUCAACAUCAAGUUGCAGUAUCUUAGAUUUAACCUAUGGUGUUAGUUGUGAAUCUAAAUUCAAGUGGUAACCCUUCCCACCGUUUGUAACGUUGUAGUCUAUAUUAUUAUGUACCUUAUUUAAAUGUUUUUAUUUGUUGUAAAAAAAAUCUCUCUUGCCUCAAAUCAGAGCGUGUAACUAUUUCAAUUCAUUAUUAAAACAUUCUCAAGUUCAUCA